UUGCGGCUUCCGGUUUCCUUGGUGUGCCCUUGCCCAGAGAGCUCUGAUUCAGCGUAGCAAUUCACAUACGAACAGUGCUGCCAUCUCUUAAUGAUACCAUAAACUUGAAGUACGUCACCAAGGUUCAUGACGUCACGCUGGCUAUGUUGCCCGCCAAUAGCAUUGAGUUGCGACCAAUUGCAACUGAUUGCAACACCGCCAUUUUGUCAUUAGAAGCUUUGGGUAGCAAUUGGAAGCAUUCUGAAGUUCUGAAGCAUCUGAAAGUUAUUUCGUGGGUGGAAGUUGUCAAGUGCAAGUUGUUGUGUCUGGAAUAUUUUCUUCUUUUUGCCUUUCGAUAAGUACAAGUGAGAAUUUGGAGAAGAUGGAAUCAUUCAAUUCGUGGAUGGUGUUUCCAGUUGGGCUGCAUGCUAUGUUAUCAGACAAACUUGUGGAUAUAGUUGGAGAACUACCGGAGGAAAUCGGCAUCAUGAUUAUCAGGAUGCUAGAUUCCAGGACUCUUCUGUCUGCAGCUGUGGUCAGCAAAAAGUGGCGGAAUUUAUGUCAUGCAGAUUCACGUCUUCAGAAGAAAAUUAUGCAACAAAUAAUGUUCCAAGGAGUGGCGCAAUACCUGAAUCCACAUAAAAUCAGCAUACAAAGGAGAGAUCCAAAUAACUACUGCCCAUCAUCUACUAUGAAUGGGCACCACAGGAUGACUGUUGCACCUGUAUCAAGUUAAACUCCACUGCCUCCCCAACCUCACAUAUGAACAAUACAGAUCGCCCGAGGCUUCCUCGGAUGUGGGCACCAACAGACUGGCAAUUUACAGUUCCAGCUGCAGAACAACCAAAUGAAACAACACAAAGAAAGGGAUUCAGCAAAGCUGGCAAAUCAUCAUCCACAGCAAAAAGAGAUGCACACAGAAACUCACCAGAAUGGAAAUGGAACCAAAUCUUUUGACACUUGUAUCUGCAUAAGAUGAAUUAUAUUAAACUUAUUUUUUAAUGCAACUUGAUUCUAAUUAAACUUAAUUUAUAAUGCAA